rnacentral:rRNA from 1 species
GGGCGCGUUACGUAGAGUGUGAUCGUGGCUCAUGAGUCUCAUAGCGGGGUCCGCGUAGUUUGGACGGGUGAAUAAUGCCUAGGAAUCUGCCUGGUAGUGGGGGAUAACGUCCGGAAACGGGCGCUAAUACCGCAUACGUCCUGAGGGAGAAAGUGGGGGAUCUUCGGACCUCACGCUAUCAGAUGAGCCUAGGUCGGAUUAGCUAGUUGGGGGGGUAAAGGCCUACCAAGGCGACGAUCCGUAACUGGUCUGAGAGGAUGAUCAGUCACACUGGAACUGAAACACGGUCCAGACUCCUACGGGAGGCAGCAGUGGGGAAUAUUGGACAAUGGGCGAAAGCCUGAUCCAGCCAUGCCGCGUGUGUGAAGAAGGUCUUCGGAUUGUAAAGCACUUUAAGUUGGGAGGAAGGGCAGUAAGUUAAUACCUUGCUGUUUUGACGUUACCAACAGAAUAAGCACCGGCUAACUUCGUGCCAGCAGCCGCGGUAAUACGAAGGGUGCAAGCGUUAAUCGGAAUUACUGGGCGUAAAGCGCGCGUAGGUGGUUCAGCAAGUUGGAUGUGAAAUCCCCGGGCUCAACCUGGGAACUGCAUCCAAAACUACUGAGCUAGAGUACGGUAGAGGGUGGUGGAAUUUCCUGUGUAGCGGUGAAAUGCGUAGAUAUAGGAAGGAACACCAGUGGCGAAGGCGACCACCUGGACUGAUACUGACACUGAGGUGCGAAAGCGUGGGGAGCAAACAGGAUUAGAUACCCUGGUAGUCCACGCCGUAAACGAUGUCGACUAGCCGUUGGGAUCCUUGAGAUCUUAGUGGCGCACCUAACGCGAUA